rnacentral:lncRNA from 1 species
GGGGUUUCGGGUUUCGGGUUUGGGGUUGGAAUAUAUGAAGUAGAAAAUUAAAGAUGGGGGUUUGGAAUAUAUGAAGUAGAAAAUAAGGAAUCUGGGGUUUGGGGUUUCGGGUUUCGGGUUUGGGGUUUCGGGUUUGGGGUUUCGGGUUUCGGGUUUCGGGGUUGGGGUUUCGGGUUUCGGGUUUGGGGUUUGGGGUUUGGGGUUUGGGGUUUGUGGUUUCGGGUUUCGGGUUUGGGGUUCUAGGGAUUUAAACAUAACAC